rnacentral:lncRNA from 1 species
UUAGAGAAACAAAUGAAGAGACAAAACUUGGUGACUACAUAAUUCCAUCAGGUGCACAGCUUUUGGUGCCUCUGCAAUUAAUCCACCGCGACACAGACCAAUGGGGAGAAGAUUCUCUUAUUUUCAAUCCAGAAAGAUUCUUAGAAGGAGUGUCAAAAGCACCCAAAGAUUUGAUGUAUUUUCCCUUUGGUUGGGGUUCUCGUCUUUGCCUUGGAAUGAAUUUCGCUAUGAUUCAGGUCAAACUUGUUUUGGCUAAAAUCGUACAGAAUUACUCGUUUGAGCUCUCUCCCUCCUAUGCUCAUGGCCCGACCAUGGCCGCACUGGUUCUUCAACCUCAGUAUGGUGCACUUGUCAUUGUGCGAAAGCUUUGACAUUAUCUUUACUUUUAGGGACGGAGCUAGAGUAUUAAUUACGAUUUGGCAGACUAUGAAUUUAUAUUAAAUUUACUUAAUAUGCAUAAAUAAUCUAUCUUGGGUCUGUUAAGUUGUCAUGUUUGAAAAUUUUGAACUCAUAAAUUUAAAGUUUCUUUUCCGCCUCUCCUAUUUAUGUUUGAAUUAAAGUCUUUUCCUUUAUGAUCCUUAUAAGACAGUAACUUUGUUUUUGGUUACACUGAUAUGAAUGAAAUUAUGAAAGACAUAUCUGUUUCCUAAGAAAUGUUGAAACAAAGAUUUGCAAUGAAAUUCUUACACUAUCAGAUCAAUUUAUUCUGCUAUAGAGGAUUAUUUGCUACUUCCUCGUUUCAUUUUAUGAAUCUUAAUUUGAUUUGUCACCAAGCUUAUGAACAUAAAGAAGACUUUUUUUUAUCUAGUGAUAUUAAAUUAAUGGUGUAUAUAAUGUACAAAAAGUAUCUUCUGAAUCUUGCAUGUGACAUUAAAUAUGUCAUCAAUGAUAAAAUAAAAAUAUUUGAAUUAAAACUCACCAAAAAUAAAGAGAUGUCAUUCCUUUUAAAUAGAUUAAAAAGGAAAGUCAGACGAAUAAAUUAAAAUAGAGGGAGUAUUAGUUACCACUAAUUACUUUUUCAAUAAUACAAUAUAUUAUACACUAACUGAAACUAAACUCUUUCUAAUUUCUGUUUAGCAAAGUGUGCAAAUCGGACCAAAGAGAUGCAUAAAAUAGCUAUAUUUUAGAAAAAUGCUCAAGUGCCCGUAUUUAUGUCAGAAAUUUGGUACUGAAAUAAGUAUCACCCUAAACGAUAAUGUGGUAUAAAAUAAUCAAACAAGUAUGGUAUGAUGUGUUGCAUGCAAUCACAACAAUAGAUCCAAUGUGUGGUCUAGGGAGAAUAUUAUAUACAUAUGUCUUUUACAUUAUUAGUAUAUACCUACUAAUUAUUUAAUCUUCUAUCCUAAUUUUCGACCUCCACACACUCCUAUCAAGGGUCAUUGUCCUCGAUACACUAAAGCAGUGUCAUGUUCUAUCUAAUUACCUCUUCCCAAUACUUCUUUGGUUCGUCUCUACCUCUCAUCAGAUCUAUCAAUGCCAACCUCUUACACCUACUUACUAGGGCAUCAUUGUCUGUCCUCUUCUCAUACCCGAACCAGCUAAGAAUCGUUUUCUGCAUCUUGUCCUCCAGGGGGUGGCACCCACCCUAUCCUGAAUGUCUUCACUCCUAAUCUUAUCUAUCCUGGUAUGCUCAUGCAAACAUCUAAACAUCCUCAUUUCUGCUACCUUCAUCUUCUAGACAUAAGAGUUCUUGACCGGCCAAAAUGCUACCUAUAUAACAUAGUUGGUCUAACUGCAUUAGAACUUAUCCUUAAGUUUUGGUAGCACAUUCUUAUCACAUAGAACACCGAAUGCAAACUUCUAUUUCAUCAACCACAAUGGUCUAAUUGCAUUAGAACUUAUCCUUAAGUUUUGGUAGCAUAUUCUUAUCACAUAGAACACCGAAUGCAAACUUCUAUUUCAUCAACCACGCUCUAAUAUGAUGUGUGAUAUCCUUGUCAAUUUCUAUAUUUCUUUGGAUUACUAACCCAAAGUACUUGAAACUUCUUCUCUUAAGGAUGACUUAUGUAUCAAUCCUCACAUCCAUAUCUACUUAAUGAGUCACUUAAUUGAACUUGCACUCCAACUAUUUUGUCUAGGUCUUACUCUGUCAAUGUCAUACCUCUUUUUUUACAUACUACCCCAAAAGGUUGUAUAUAAGGCAAUUUUUCCAAUUUAAGUGACAUUAAUUAUUUAUACUAUUUAGUUCAGAGUUGCCACUUGGAAUAGUUUAUUUUCUGGUGUCCCAAGUCACUGAUUUAAUUUAAAAUCUCAAAUCGAGGAAAAUUCGACUUUCCUUAUGAAGUCUGCGAACUAGAAAUUCUGAGUAAGGAAUUCCGUUAACCCGAGGGAAGGUGUUAGCCACCCUCGGAUUCUGUAGUUCUAGCAUGGUCGCUUAAACUAGUAUAAUUGGUCUAUUAUAUGAUUUUAAUGCAUUUCCAAACCUAUGGUGCAAAUUUUAAAUUAUUUACCUCUUUUAAUUAAUUUUAAAGGAGAUUGAACGUCAUUUAAUCCAUGUUUUUGGAUUGCGUCACAUGAAAUGCACCCGUAAUUUGAAACAUAUUUAUUCAAUAUUUUAGGAUUUAAAUUUGGGUCGCAUGAAAUGCACACCCGAGUUUUAGAAGGUAAAAUUAUUAAAUAGCGCGCCUAAAGCAACUAACGUGUCAUUAACUUUGCGGGAGGCCUUGAAAGAUUGCUAAAUGGCACACCCCGAGUUAUAAGUGUGAGCAUGUGAUUUUUGACCUAUAUGAAUCAUACAAACUAAUUUUCCUUUGUUAAUUUGCAAUUUUUUAAUUUUUCGGGGCAUUUUCUGCUAAUAGUUUGCAUUUGUUUGUGCAUAUUUAAUUUAUCUUAAUAAAAUAAAAUACAAAAAUAUGUUGUAUUUGCAUUUAGGAUUUAACUUUACAUUUCAGGAUUAAUUACCAAAUUAGUUGUUUUAUGAAAAGGGAAAAUCAUAAAAAAUAUAGUAUAAUUUGCACUUUUAAUUUUAGCUUUUAUUUUGAAGUAGUUUUCCUUUAAUUUGUUUCUAAUUAAUUGAGUUAACUAUCAUUUAGGUGUAACUAAUGACAUAUUUGAGUUAAUUGGUCCCUAAGAUUUAAUUUAGAAAUUAUAUUAAUUUAGAGAAAAUAGAAAAAGAAAAGAAGAAUAGGAUUUUUGAAGGUAAAAGAGGAUUAUAAUAAAAAGAAGAGGAAAUCUGGGCCAUCUUUGAAUUAAGCUUCCAGCCCAAACUGUUCCCCUCUUAAAACCGAUCAAUCCCAACCCAAGUUUCCCCAACCCGGUUCAUCUCAUGCCCAAUCAAACGACGUUGUUGUAGCCAUUAGAUCGUAGUCGUCAAGGUUACUCGAUCAAACGGCCCUGAAUCUUGGGUUCAUUUACAUAUAAGUGUCUGAAACACUCUACCCCCCCCCCCCCCCCCCCCCNNNNNNNNNNNNNNNNNGAAACCCUCUCCCCCCCCCCCCUCACUCCUCUCCUUAAUCUCUUCAGAGACUAGCCAUACACCACCGUCCUACGCCUGCCAGAAAUAGUUCACGGCGGCGUACGGUGGCAUAUCCCUUCCAAACUUACACCAUGGACUCCUCUCACCUUUCCCAGUCCGAAUCCCCAAUCCAUCUUCUCCGAACCACCCCAAUACUCUUCAAAUUUUAGAUUGAAAUAGGACCCCAAAACCCUACUUUACCCAACCAAUCCCAAUUUAAUACCAUACAACCGCCUUGACCCCCUCAUACCCAAUAUGUAUGUGAUUUCCCUCUAAUCAUUGUCAAACAUUUUAAAUUUUGGAUCUGAAAUAUGAAGCCCUAGUCCCCGUUUCCCCUUUUGCAUAUUUGGGUCUUGAGAGGCUUUGGGUGAACUCAAAAUAUCCGUUAGUCAAUUUGUUCUUGUUAAGAAUAGACGAUUAACGGUAGUUCGAAUUCACCCUUUGGCUCAACAAUCUGAGUGAGUGAUUUCAGUGUCGAAGAGGUUGUUCCAUGUAAUCCUCUUUUCAUUUUCACCAUUUGAUCAUAAUUUGGACUGUAUAUUUAGUCAUUAAGUUUUUGUAUUUUUUUUUCUUUCUUUGUUUUCUUCUUUUUUUGAGUUUUAUUUCUCAUAGGUUUAAGGAUUGAUCAUAUUUAAUUAUUUGUUCAUUAAGAGAAUGGAAAUGGCGGUAUGUUAGGGUUUAGAGAUAUUAUCUAUUAUGUUCAAUUAAUCCAGUUCAUUUAUAUUAGUUUCUGAAUAUAUUCAAGUAUUCAUGGGUGUGUCCUUUUUAUUCCAAGGUCUUUGAACAAUAGAUGCAGGUCUAGUUAUAAGUUUAAAGUAAUUCAAUAUUGGUUUGUUUGAUCUUCCUUGCUCCCUCAAUUCUGAAACAUGUUGUAUGUCCUUGUUGGUAAUUACUGGGAACUCUUAGGGUCUUAAUUACAUCAAAAGGAAACUUUAGGGGUUUUAAGGGUCAAGUAAGAGCUGUAAUAACCAAUUAGGCAAAGGGAAAAUCAAGAAUUUUAGGUGGGAGAGGGAAUCAUUUUUGUUGGGUAGAAGUUUCCAGAGAUAGCAUAAGUGUGAGUCUGUUAAGAAGCAUGAUUUUCAUAUUCUUGAGAAGGUGAAAAGUAUGUUUUGUUGAAUCAUUACUCAAAGAUUUUAAAAUCAUCACAACAUACACCCUGCUCCUUUAUAUUGUAGACAAGAACCUAAGAAAUACUACAAACAUAAGAGGCAAAAAACAUGGGUAUUGCAGUUUUAAUUGCUCUACCAAUAUGCCUUUCAUUCUCCUUUUGGUGCCUGAAAUUGCUGUAUUUGAUAUGGUGGCGGCCCAAAAAUGUGGAAAGAUAGCUAGGAUACAAGGAGUAUAUGGCCGUCCAUAUAGAUUUCUUUAUGGAAAUCUAAAGGAGAUGAUGGAAAUGAACAAAAUAGCUAAGUCUAAACCUAUGCCUUUGAAUCACGACUACACCCCUCGGCUAAAUCCUUUGUUCUAUGAGCUCGCCUCCACUUACAGUAACUACUCUUACUAGUAAUUUGCAUAAGUUUCUUUAGUAGCAAAAAAUAGUGGCAAAGUCAGGAAUUUCACUAAAAAUAUAGUUUAAGAUUGUUUUCAAACUUUAAUUUGUAAAUAGUAAUAUGUUCCGUCCUUUGCAGAGAAACUUUUCUUGUUUUGGCUGGGACCGAUACCUCGGGUGACCAUAAUGGAUCCAAAGCUAAUACGGGAAGUACUAUCAAAUAAAUCGGGUGUGUUCAGAAAAUCAAAAAUCAGUGCUUUCCUCAAGCUAUUUGGAACAGGAUUGGGGACUUACGAUGGUGAAAAAUGGGCUAAACACAGAAAAAUUCUUAAUCCAGCUUUCCACUUGGAAAAAUUAAAGGUAUUUUUCAAUUAAGUAGUUACCUUACUUUUACGUCAUUUUUUAAUCAGAGGUUUAUUUUCAUUUUGGCCUUGCAAAUGCAUGCAACUUAUGUUGGGAGCAUUCACAGAGUGUACACAAAAAAUGAUAAGCAGAUGGGACACGUUAACUGAAUCAAAGGGUUGUUGUGAAUUGGAUAUUUCCAAAGAAUUUCAUAGUUUAACAGGAGAUAUACUACCAAAAUCAGCCUUUGGUAGUAAUUUUGAAGAAGGGAAGUUAAUAGUUUCGCUUCUGAGGGAACAAUGCGAACUUGUUUUCACUGCAAAACUUGCUAUUAAUGUCUUCCCUUGGUUAAGGUACGUCUAAAUGAAAUCUAUAAUCUUGAAAAUAAGAUAUGCUAACGGUGACUUGCUAGUAUUCUUUACACUGUCUGUAUUGAGAUUCUCGUCUAUGUAAUAGGUUUGUGCCAACAAAAACUAAUUCAAGAAGAUUGUACAUCAAUAACACAGUCCGCAAUUCGCUAAAAAGGAUAAUAGAGAAGCGAGAGAAAGAGGUACAAUCAGAAAAAUCACACAAAAGUUUGCUAAAAGGAUAAUAGAGAAGCGAGAGAAAGAGGUACAAUCAGAAAAAUCACACAAUGAAGAUCUUUUGGGGUUUUUAAUGAAAUCUAAUCAAGAAGAACAACAAGGGAAUAAGAACUCAAACAAGGGAAUACAGAAGAUGUAAUAGAAGAGUGCAACUCUUUCUAUUUUGCGGGUCAAGAGACUAUUGCAACUUUAUUAACAUGGACUGCAAUUGUUUUGACUAUGCAUCGAGAUUGGCAAGAAAAAGCCAGGAAUGAAGUUCUUCAAAUCAUUGGAAAAGAUGAACCUAAGUUUGAUCAACUGACCAGCUAAAAAUUGUAAGAUUCUCCGCUUAUGAUCUGUCGUUAUAUACUAUUUUAAUUGAAGUAAUAUACACUAACAAUAUAAAUUUAUUUUACAUUAUCAGUAUAGAUUAAAUAUGAUGGUAAGUUAGUUAUCGUUUCCGAUUAAGGCUUAUCUUGGAGAUAUGCUGACACUUUAAACAUUUUUUAAUAUUAUAGGUAAAUUUUAACCUGUAAUAGCAGAUAAGUUACAAAUUUCAAGAAAUUUACAUGGACUUGCUUAAAGUACCUAAUUACAUAAAUAUUACAAUCGGUUGAUAUAUAGAACUUAAACUCUUUACUUUACAAGUUACUUGAUUACGCAAAUAUUUUGUACGUUGUCAAUGCAUUGGAACUUCAACUCGAAAGAGACUUUUGAGUGUUAAAAGAAGGGUAACUCAAUGCACGAGACUCUUUGCAUUUACGCAUGAUUCAAAGAAGGGUCACGCCUAAAAGGGUGUGAUACAGAAAGUCUACCUUAAUACAAGUAUUAAUGGAUGUUUUCACGGUUCAAUAAAAGGGUGUGAUAAAGAAAGCCUACCUUAAUACAAGUAUUAAUGGAUAUUUUCACGGUUCAAACUCGUGAUCUUUAGGUCACAUAUAUAACUUUAUCAUUACUCCAAGGCUUCUUUUCCUACUAAACAUAUACGGUCGAACCUUUCGAUAAUAAUUUUAUUUGUUUAUAUAUUUUUUUACUAUUAUAGUAAAAUGAUAUUAUAGAUAGACGUAUAUUAUAUUAUAACAUAAAACUCGAUUCCGAGUAAAACUCUGACUUUGAUCUGAUUUACUUAAUUCUACAAUACAUGUAGGUAACUAUGAUCUUGCACUACGAGGUUGCUUGACUGAUAUAAGGACGAGGGCCAAGAUUUGAUGCCAUGAGAUGACUUGAUAUUGCGCUUAAGCAAUAAGGGGCCCCUCCUCGAGUCUGCACACCCCCAGUGAGUGCGGUUACCCAUCGUGAUGUGAGAUAUGGAUGGAGGGGCUUAUGUCGUACUAUAUGAUAGCUUGAAGGGCUGGUAUUAUUCUAUGUGAUAGCCCGAGGGUUGGUACCAUUCUAUACGAUUUCUCGAAGGGCUAGUAUUGUUCUGAGAUAUUGCCCAAGGGGCGGAGUUGUUGACAUUAUGCUCGAGGGGCGAACCUUUAUGUAUUUAUAUUUUAUAUUUACAUGUCAUUUUACUUGUUAAACUAUGGUAUUUGUGCCCGAGGGGCAGAUUUAUGUACUUCUCUACACUAACUAUUUUGCAUUCAUUGGCGUAACUGUGGAAAAGGUCAUUUUUCAAAGAAGUUUAAACCGAGCUAAGAUAAUUUAAAGAGAUUUCACAGCUUCAUUGCUUUCUUAAAUUAUUUUAUACUGCUUCUAUACAACAUGUUGAUAUGCUUUACGUGAAUUCUUACUGAUCAAUUGUUAUUUACCUUUAGUACUCACUAAGUUGGAGUACUCACUUUACUCCCUACAUCUUGUGUGCAGGUUCAGGUAUUUCUGAACACGGUAGCGGGUAUUGCUUGAUUAGAGGUAGAGCCAUCGGAUUUUAUUAAGGUAGCUGCUGGCGUCCACAACACUGCUUUUCUCGAGUGAAGGAAAUUUUUUGACAAAGUUUAUAUUAUGCUUUGUAGGUGUGUGAGAAUCAGGGGAUGUCUUAAGUUGUUGUUGGUAAACAAUACUCGAUAAAUAGAGUAGGAAGUUUCUUGGUUGUAUUAGGAUGAGGUUACAUUCUGCGGUGUAGGAGUGCCAAUGAGGCAUGGGUGGUUCUGUUCGUUUGAUUAGGUUAAUUGCAAUUUAAAGAAGACUGAAUGACUCUCAAGAAUCAUUCUAUUCUAAAUGAAAUAAUUGGGUAAUUUAACAUUAUAUAUGUGGUUAGAAACUGAGUUUUCAUUAGAAGAUGUCAAGACUCGUGGAGAAUUCUAUGUUAAUUAUGGGGUUCUAUGUAUCAGUAUCAGGAAGGUAAAGGCAACAGAUUUAGACCUGCAGGAAAUCUCUUAAGAGUAAUGCAUUUUUGAGCUUGGUGCUCCUAGGAAUAUCUGAAAAAGUAUUCAGUGACUUAUGAGCCUUAGACGGUGCAGUUUUAUUUUUGGUCUCGUGUGGUAAGCCAGGGUUGAGGAAUUAUGGUGCUAGAGCUAGAGAGAAUAUCAAGUUGAAGAUGAAUCAACAGGAAAUUUCGAUAGAUGGGGUAGCUUGGUAGUUGACCGGAUCAAUAUGGAAAGGAUAUGAUUAGCUCUUUGGAUGCUUACGGGGUAAUGAGUCUCUGCAGGUAUCUUGUGGCAGUGCUCUUAGGUUUGAUGGCUUGCUUAACUUGGUCGAGUUAGAAGGAUUCAAUCGUGGCUGGUCUAAUUUGUGAAAAAUUAGGUUUGAUGACUUGCUUAACUUGGUCGAGUUAGAAGGAUUCAAUCCUGGCAGGUCCGAUUUGUGCAAAGGGAUCUCGGAGAGUCCUUGAUGGGUUUUCCUCAGAUUGGGGGAUCCAUAUCUUCUAGAUUGAACCAAUGGAAGUUUCUAGUCUAGUUGAGUAUGUAGAUGUUUGUAUCACGGAAGGGAUGUAAAGUCCUCGCGGUUAUCCUAGAGUCGUACAGUUUAUGCGGCAUGUUGUGUAGGAUCGAGAUUGGCAUAUGUAAUGUAACAUUUCAGAUUAUAAGGGAAGGUCUUGAAUUCUUAGGCAGCAAGGACAACUUUAGAUAAUUAGAGAAACGAGCUUCAGAUGAUUUGAUAAAUGAUCUUCAGAUGAUUAAAGAAAUGGUAAUAAUAAUUGAGGUGAUUGACGAGGGUAUAUGUUUCAGAAAGAGGCAGUGUGAUUAAGUUGAUGGUACCUCGGUAGUAUUGCAGCACUUCUUGUCAGAUCGACUGCUGAUAUUCGAGAUUGCUUGAUGGCACAAGGGAAUUUUAGAAUAUCUUGAGUGGAAUGAUUGGGUAUUUUAGGUGUGAUAUGCAUUCGAGCAGCGGAAUUAGGAUUAGGUAUGGUAAUUUUAUGUGCUACAUGGAGUUGGAGACUGGGAGUUCUUAUAUUCAGGCUAUAUUGUGGUUGUGGGUCGCGUUUAUCGGCACUGUUUAGUGACUAUCGGGGUUUGGAGACUCAAGCAGAUCUUUUGUGCUUGGUAUGUUAUAUUUUGGAUGUGAUUUUGGGUUUAGACUGCUUGUCUCCAUGUGUUGUCAUUCUAGACUAUUGCGCUAAAGCAUUGCUGUUGGCUAUGCCGGGAAUGCCAUGGAUUGAGUGGCAUGGUUCGACGAAUUAUGUUCUAGUAUAGUGGUUAUAUGUUCAAAGACGGUUGGGAAGGAUUGUCUUAUUUAUUUGGGUUCUCGUGAUGGAUGACAGUGUUGAGGCUCCUUAUAUUGAUUCAAUUCCAGUGGUGAGGAACUUUUCGGAUGUGUUUCUAAUUGUCAGCAUGUCACCAGUCAAGGUUGUUAAUUUCGAUAUCGAUUUGAUACCGGGCACCGUAUCGUAUGGCGCCGACAGAGUUAAAGGAGCAUCUUCAGCUUUCCUUGAUAAGGAGUUUGUUGGCUGGCCAAUGUGGAUGCAUGUUUUAACUUGAGUCGGUUUGGUUGGCUCCGAAUUGCAUUGUUGAGGGAUGUGUUGAUUCGAUCUUUGUUGAGCUUAUUAGAGAUAUGGGGAGAUCUAUGAGUUACCUUUUAGUGUUGGGAGGUGAUAUAAUUUUUUGGUUAGGGGCACAUACAGUGCGUUCAUUUGGGGUCUCAUAUGGAAGUCGAGCGGGAAGAGUAAUUGGGUGUUUCUCGGUGAAAUGCGUAUCGGUUAUGUCCUAUCGGGAUGCGUGGUAUAUGUUAUUUAUUUUAUCGUGGGUGUAAUGAUUGUCUUUGAUUCCAGACAUUAAAUUGUGUGUGGCUGUCGAUUUUGAGCAUACUGACUUGAGGUGUUUCAUGUGAAGCAGUGCUUGGAUAGGAUCGCGCAUUGCGGUGAAGCUAUAUGGAGAUAUGAACUUUCGAGUUAGAUUCAUGUGUUCUAUCUCUAUGAUGAGAGAUGGGUUCUCAGCCUUGUGUUGUGAUAGUAUUGGUGAGCUCGAGGUACAACUCUUUCAUUUGAGUCAUUUUUAUGAUUUGAGUAUGUUCGGACCAUUGCUUAUUGGUGCGUGUAUUAUCCAAGUUGUGGCUUAGACCUAUAUUGAUGUGUCACUUCACCAGAGUAGUGUGUUCGAUUAUAUGAAAUCGUUAGGAUCAUUAAUGAAUACGAACAUAUUCGAUUUCAGCAUGUUGGAAAGAUAAUAUCGAGGUUCGGCUCGAAAAUUUGCUAUGGUAAUUGCCAAGAAGAAGAAGCUUCAUGAAUGGUUGAUCUGAGAAAUGGUUAUGGCUUACUACUUGUUUUAGUUAUCAUUGGCAGUAUAUAUAAAAGUGUUGGGAUUAAACUUUGGUUGAUAAGGAGGUUUCUACCGGUAUUCGGGUGUUGUAUGCAGAGGUUGUGAAUGAAAGUUAUCGCUGCAUGUGUUUGAGUUAUGUGGUAUAUCGUAUAAUUGCACCUGAGGUUGCAUGCAUGGGUUAUUACAGCUGGUUCGAGCCCAUUCAAAGUAUAGGUGUGAGAUUUUGAUCGUAUUGAUGGUUUCAGAAGUGAAAAUGUAGUUCUAUGGUAUAUGGCCUAGAUUGGAUUGUGUAUCAGGAGGUGUAGUUCAUCUAAACAUUCAUCUAUAACAAGAACAGUAGAUGCAGACAUUCUGGAAUCAGAAACUGGAAAAAAACCAAGUCUCUUGUUUCCAGUUUUUUUUCUUAAUCAACCAUAGGUGAUGACAGUUCUGGCAAAUUUCAAGGAAGCAUGGCUCGCUUGUUAGGCUUUAUGUAUUUUCUUUUCUAUGACCCACAUAGGCACGGUGACCCUACCCUAUAAAGUGAAACAACGCUUUAUGUAUUUUAUUUUCUAUGACCCACAUAGGCACGGUGACCCUACCCUAUUUAAGUGAAACAACAGAAAAGCAGUAAUUAGACUCUUCGCCUAGUUUUAUGCUCAUUAAAAUAAACAUCAAAGGAGAAUUCUUUUUAUUGGCCAUUGUUUGGUUUCUUAAUGGUCAAUUUCAGCCUUCUAAAUUGAGUAUAGGUGUGAGGUUUUGAUCGUAUUGAUGGUUUCAGAAGUGAAAAUGUAGUUCUAUGGUUUAUGGGCUAGAUUGGAUUGUGUAAUUUCAAUUACAAUGUGUUAUCAUACCUAUAUCUUAUAAGGUGAUGUGGGAUCAACCCCGGGUAUAUGCAUGGUAAGGUUAUUCAGCGAUUGGUUGGGUUUUGUAACUACUCCGGGGACGUUUGAGGAUGAACAUUUGUUUAAGUUGAGAAAGAUGUGACGACCCAGCCAGUCGUCUCAUGGGUUACCACUUUGUUUCCCCCCAUUUUGUGCUUCUUUGUGCUUCAUUAUCCAUGUUUUAUGUGAUCGAGUUGAUUAGUUGGUGUUCAAAGAGGAUUUUCUAAGACAUGAGACACUUAGUCUCUUUUAAGAAGGCUUAAGUUGGAAAAGUCAACUGAAUGUUGACUUAUGUGAAAGGGAUCAGAUGUGAGUUCCGGUGGUUGGGUUAGCUUUGGGAGGUGAUUUAUGACUUGGGAGUGUGAUCGGAAUGGGUUUUGGAGGUCCGGAAUAGAAUUAGUCUUGAAUUGGUGAAAGUUGAUAUUUUGGUGAUUUCCAGUUGAUAGGUGAGAUUUUGAUCCGAGAGUCAUAAUGGAAUAUUAAGAGCUGUUGUAGCUUCGUUGUGCCAUUUGGGAUGUGCGUGCAAAAUUUCAGGUUAUUCAGCGUGUUUUGAUUGGUUUUUGAUCUAAAGCGUAUUGCUGAAGAUUUUAGAAAAACUUAGGCUUGAAUCUGAUGUGUUUUAAGUAGUUUGAUGUUGUUUGAGGUAUUUUGAUGACUCAAACAAGUUUGAAUAAGGUUUAGGAUGUGUUUUUGCUUUUGGUUGAGGUCUCGGGGGCCUCGGGUGAGUUUCAUGUUGUUAAUCGGACAAUUUUUGAGUUUGAGAAAUUGCAGAAAAUCAACCUAGCAGUUAUAGGUAGUUUGGCCUUCGCGUUCGCAAAGGGUUGAGUUCUGUGAUCUAUGCAUUCGCAAAGGACAAGGCCGCAUUUGUGAGGUACUAGGACUCGUUCGUGAAGGCUAUAGAAAGGAUCUCAUCGCACGCGAGUGGGUUUUCGCGAUCGGGGAGAAGGGUUGGAAGCAUAUUGGUCCAAGGCGAUUUAUUCAAGCCUUCGCGUGAGGGCUUCUGCAUUCAUGUAAGUUUAAGUGGAAUAGGCAUCGGGUUCAUAUCUGGAACGUCGCAUACGGGAAAGUCAAUUUUUUGGUCAAAGCGAGUUUGUGCAGCGCGAUUGCCAGGUGAUGACUGCGAUCACGAAGUAGGAAGGGUCACACCUGGACAAAAUGUUUUAAGUCAUUUCAUCCGCGAUUUUGGGUCUAUUUUCCUCCAUAGUUAAUCAUUUUGAUAGCUUCUUGAAGGAGAUUAUCGAGGGAUUCAAGAGGAAACGACUUGAGGUAAGUUUCUUGGACUUAAAACUCGAUUCAAUUAUGAAAUCCACCCAGAAAUUCAUGAAGACCUGAACAAAAAUGGAAGAACUGGGGCUUGAAAUUUUAGAUUUUGAUUAGGGAAUUUGGAGGACCAAUUGGGGUCGGAUAUGAGAACUUUUGGUACGUACUAACUCGUGGGGAGAUAAGGAACUCGGUGAUGUAAAAAAUUCUAAGUUUCGAGAAGUGGGCCCGACGCUCGAGUUUUGCUAAUUUUUGAAUUUUUGGUAUUUUUCGAUUGUUUUCGCUUGGGCUUUGUUGCCUUAGCAUAUUGUGAUGUAAUUGUUCUUAUUUUAAAUAGAUUCGACAUGCGUGGAGGCCGAUUCAAGGGUCAAAGGCAUCGCCAGCUAGAUAUUUAGCUGGUUCGAGGUGAGUAAUACUUGUAAAUGAUGUUUUGAGGGUUUGAAACCCCGGAUUGCACAUCGUAGUGCUAUGUUGAGGUGACUCACACGCUAGAUAGCGAGUGUGAGGUAGAACACCAUUGUGGAUUGUGACUUAGUCCAUCCCGAUUGAUGAUUUUACCAUGUGCUUGAUUGAAAACUAUUUGCUAUCAUCAUAAUGCCAUAUUUGGGCCUAGUGCCAACUAUGUGAACCCUUCGGGGCUUGUUAUUGAUAUUCCCUCACUGUUCUGACUUUAUAUUGGAACUCAGUCAUGUUAUUUUACACUGUUUUCAAAACUCAGCCAAGUUUACUUCUUUAGCACUUGAAAUGAUAUUUCAAAUAAUAUUUUGGGUUGAGCAUCAUGUUUUAUUGUUGCCCAAGUGACUUAUGUGAUUUUUGACUGAGUAAGGCCGAUGGCCUAGUUGUAAGAAAACACUAAUACUAAUUUUAGGCGGAGGGCCUCAAAUAUAUACGCCACGACGUGGAUUGUUGAUAUUGUUUAUGAGGCCGAGGUCCUGAGAUAUAUAUGCCACGAGGUGGCUUGAUUGAUAUGAGGCCGAGGGCCUAGAUGUGAUGCCACGUGGUGGCUUGAUUGAUAUGAGUCCGAGGGCCUAGAUGUGAUGCCACAAGAUGGCUUGAUAUUGCUCUUAGGCCGUACGGGGCCCCUCCGCUUUAUUGAUAUGAGGCCGAGGGCGUAGAUGUGAUGCCACGAGAUGGCUUGAUAUUACUCUUAGGUCGUACGGGGCCCCUCCCGGAUUCAUACCCACAGUGAGCGCGAGUACCCAUUUUGAUGUGAGAUAUAGCCCGAGGGGCUAAUAUUAUUCUAAGUGAUAGUCCGAGGAGCUGGUAUUGUUCUAUGUGAUAGCCCGAGGGGCUGGUACCAUUCUAUGUGAUUGCCCGAUGGGCUGGUAUUGUUCUGAGAUAUUGCCUAAGGGGCGAAGUUGUUGACAUUAUCUUUCAUAUUUAUUUGUCAUUUUACCUGUUAAACUAUGGUAUUUGUGCCCGAGUUCGGAUUUAUGUUCUUCUAUGCCCUAACUAUUUUGCAUUCAUUUGCGUAACUGUUGAAAAAGUCAUUUUCAAAGAAGUUUAAAUUGAGUAAAGAUAUUUUUAUGAGAUUUCAUAGCUUCAUUGCUUUCUUAAAUGGUUUUAUAUUGCUUUUAGAUUAAAUUGAGCAAAGAUAUUUUUAAGAGAUUUCACAGUUUCAUUGCUUUCUUAAAUGGUUUUAUAUUGCUUGUAGACAACAUGUUGAUAUUCUUUACGUGAUUUCUUACUGCUCAGUUGUUAUUUACCUUUAUUACUUACUGAUUUGGAGUACUCACUUUACUCUCUGCACCUUGUGUGCAGGUUCAAGUAUUUCUGAAUCCAGUAGUGGGUAUUGGUUGAUUAGAGGCAGAGUCAUCGGAGUAUAGCAAGGUAGCUGUCACCGUCUGCAGCACUGCUUUUCUCCCUUUUUAUUCUACUAGUCGGUACAUAGUACAUUCCAGUUUUCAUCAGAUGUAGCUAGACCUUAGUAGAUGCUCAUGACUAGUGUCCAGCGUCUGCAACACUGAUUUUCUCCCUUUUUAUUCUAUUAGUCGGUACAUAGUACAUUCCAGUUUCAUCAGAUGUAGCUAGACCUUAGUAGAUGCUCAUGACUAGUGACACCCCAGUUUGGGCUGUGUUUGGGUUGUACUUCCGCAUUGUUAUGAUAUUAAGAAGUAGAUGCUCAUGACUAGUGACACCCCAGUUUUGGCGGUGUUUGGGUUGUACAUCCGCAUUGUUAUGAUAUUAUCUGCUUUUUAAAAUUAUUAAAUCAUCUUUUAGCCUGUUUAAUUAUUGUUUAGCUGUAUGAUUUCGAAUUGGAGAUGUGUCGACUGGCCUUGUAUUCAUGAUAGGCACCAUCACGAUCGUGUGUGGGUUUAGGGUCAUGACAGUGGCGUAUAGGUGAGCUAACAAGGUCCUAUGCGUCGCCAAAUUAUCUAUUUAUCAUGCUCAAUUCCCCGUUCUUAAUAUAUUGUUUUCAUGUCGUUACUGCUACAUGCCUAUUUGUGCCUCCAUGUUAAAUUACUUCUUGUUAGAUGGUGAUUUCUUUAUUGAAGAUAUUAAUUAUUCUGUAGUUCAUUGUAUCACAAUAUUAGAUUAAGUUGGUUUAUCGGUACUUCGUGGUACAUUUUGGUUGGUCUUGUUAGAAUACGUGCUUAACGCUAGAGGGGGGGUGAAUAGCGUAUUAUCAAAAAUCACAGGAAUUUAAAACAAUAAUGCGGAAAUUAAAGAGUAAGGAGAGUGUGCACCAAAACGUAUACUGGUUCACCACAACCUGUGGCUAAGUCCAGUCUCUUGAGCAACAGCUUAAGGUUCUACUAUCUCCGUUAAACUUGCGGGUGCUUAACAAACCGUUACACUGCUCAAGGAUACCGCACCUCAAGACUUCUGUUAAGUUUCCGGGUACCUAACAAACCUUUACACUUGANNNNNNNNNNNNNNNNNNNNNNNNNNNNNNNNNNNNNNNNNNNNNNNNNNNNNNNNNNNNNNNNNNNNNNNNNNNNNNNNNNNNNNNNNNNNNNNNNNNNNNNNNNNNNNNNNNNNNNNNNNNNNNNNNNNNNNNNNNNNNNNNNNNNNNNNNNNNNNNNNNNNNNNNNNNNNNNNNNNNNNNNNNNNNNNNNNNNNNNNNNNNNNNNNNNNNNNNNNNNNNNNNNNNNNNNNNNNNNNNNNNNNNNNNNNNNNNNNNNNNNNNNNNNNNNNNNNNNNNNNNNNNNNNNNNNNNNNNNNNNNNNNNNNNNNNNNNNNNNNNNNNNNNNNNNNNNNNNNNNNNNNNNNNNNNNNNNNNNNNNNNNNNNNNNNNNNNNNNNNNNNNNNNNNNNNNNNNNNNNNNNNNNNNNNNNNNNNNNNNNNNNNNNNNNNNNNNNNNNNNNNNNNNNNNNNNNNNNNNNNNNNNNNNNNNNNNNNNNNNNNNNNNNNNNNNNNNNNNNNNNNNNNNNNNNNNNNNNNNNNNNNNNNNNNNNNNNNNNNNNNNNNNNNNNNNNNNNNNNNNNNNNNNNNNNNNNNNNNNNNNNNNNNNNNNNNNNNNNNNNNNNNNNNNNNNNNNNNNNNNNNNNNNNNNNNNNNNNNNNNNNNNNNNNNNNNNNNNNNNNNNNNNNNNNNNNNNNNNNNNNNNNNNNNNNNNNNNNNNNNNNNNNNNNNNNNNNNNNNNNNNNNNNNNNNNNNNNNNNNNNNNNNNNNNNNNNNNNNNNNNNNNNNNNNNNNNNNNNNNNNNNNNNNNNNNNNNNNNNNNNNNNNNNNNNNNNNNNNNNNNNNNNNNNNNNNNNNNNNNNNNNNNNNNNNNNNNNNNNNNNNNNNNNNNNNNNNNNNNNNNNNNNNNNNNNNNNNNNNNNNNNNNNNNNNNNNNNNNNNNNNNNNNNNNNNNNNNNNNNNNNNNNNNNNNNNNNNNNNNNNNNNNNNNNNNNNNNNNNNNNNNNNNNNNNNNNNNNNNNNNNNNNNNNNNNNNNNNNNNNNNNNNNNNNNNNNNNNNNNNNNNNNNNNNNNNNNNNNNNNNNNNNAAAUAUAAAUUAAAAGUGUAUUCAAUAAUAACUCACAUAUAUUUGGCAUAUAUUAUUUUCCAUCUAAAUCGGUUUGUCAAUUAUCAAAACAUAUAAAUAUUAACAUGCAUAUAUGUUCCAACAGGUCUCACCAUGUAGCAUUAAUUGAUGCAGUUUCAUAAUUGUGUAGAUUUCUAUUUGCUUUUAUUUGAGACACAAAUAUUAUGGAGGGUACUGAGCUAAAUUAUAAAAUACUUGUUCUUAUUGUGUCAUUGGUACUGAUAUGGUGGAAUCGGGUUGCACGCGCAAUAGGAUGAGUAAAGGUGAAAUGUGAUUGUCUGUUGGGGUCGGGUUGCGCAUUGUGAAAAGGAGUAUUAAGGGUGGACAUGUCGGAUCGGGUUGCACGCUGCAACAGAAGGAAUAAGGGUAAUAUAUUGAGGAGUAAUAAGGAUGGACUGGUAGGAUCGCAAUAGGAUGAGUAAGGGUGAAAUGUGAUUGUCUGUUGGGGUCGGGUUGCGCAUUCUGAUAAGGAGUAAUAAGGGUGGACAUGUCGGAUCGGGUUGCACGCCGCAACAGAAGGAAUAAGGGUAAUAUGUAGGAUCGGGUUUCACGCUGCAACAAGGAGUAAGAAGGGUGAAUGUUCAUAUUAGUACUAAUUAUAUGGUAGGAUUGAGAUGCGCGUCGCAUCAUUUUGUUGCUUAUGUAUUUUUCUCUGCUGUCCCGUAUUUACUUACUGCAAGUUACUAUUCCAUUUCGUUCCGUAAUUCCUUGUUGCUUUAUUAUAAACUGUAUGCAUAUUAUAUUAUGAAUUCCCCGCCUUAGCCUAGUCACUAUCUCGUCAAGGUUAGGCUCGGCAAUUACCAGAACAUAGGGUUGGUUGUGUUGAUACUGUACUCUGCACUUUCUGAGCAGAUUUUGGAGCUGGUUGUGGUUGAUCGAGAGGUCGGUUGCAGGCAUUCAUCUAGGAGACCCAAGGUAGUUCUGCAUGCGUUCGCAGGCACUGGCGUCCCUUCUUAUGUUUCCACAUUUCUAUUUUAUUUUCUUCAGAGAUAGAUGUAUUUUCUUUCAGACGCACCCUGCAUGCGUUCGCAGGCACUAACGUCCCUUCUUAUGUUUCCACAUUUCUAUUUUAUUUUCUUCAGAUAUAGAUGUAUUUUCUUUCAGACGCAUACUUGUAGUUAUUCAUAGAAUACUCGUAGGUUGUGACACUAACUUCUAGGUAGUAACAGGUUUUGGUAUUUGUUAAUAGUAUAUAGAUUGCCAUUUUAUUAUGUACUUUCGCUUUUAUUUCUGUUGAUUUAGUUUUGUUAUAUUUUAACUUAUAAAAUAUAAAGGAAGAAGGUGAAUAUAACUAUAAUGUUGGAUUGCCUAGCGAGUACGAUGGUAGGCGCCAUUACGAUCCCAACGGUGGGAAAUUUGGGUUCGUGACAUAUUCAUUGUCUUUUUUUUAAUGUAUUUAAAUUUAUCUCGUUGUAUUCCACGUAUUAUAUUGUAUUCAUUGUCACGUUUUAUUCCAGGAGUGUAUUCAUAUAUUUUAUUAAUCAAUAUAGUUUAAUAUUUAGAUGUACAUAAUUUUAUUCCAGGAAUGUAUUCAUAUAUUUUAUUAAUCUAUAUAGUUUAAUAUUUAGAUGUACAUAUGUAUUCAAAUGUAUAUGCAGUAUGCAUUCAUAUAUUUUUUUCUAUACAUGAAUCUCAAAUUUUAUUGGUUGAAAUUAAACAGAAACACGCAUGAAUGAUAUCAACAGAAAAGGGAAGGAUUAGAAACAUGACAAUUACUCUGUUUCAUCAUAUUUCGCAUCAAAUACAUAUUAUGGGUGAUGUAAUUUAGUUAGUAGUUAUUUUAGGAAUCUAUUGUGCUAAUUAAUUCACUUUACAUUUUAAAAACAGCUGAAUAGACCACGAUUUGUGCUAUUUACGUUAUUGUAUUCACAAAUACAUAUCGUGAAUACAGUCGAAUACAAUAAUUGUCUAGCUAGAAUUCCCUGAUUCAUGCCGAGUUUUGCUACUAUAUUCAUGAAUAUAGUAUAUAUCGUGAAUACAGCCGAAUACAAUAAUUGUUUAGCUAGAAUUCCCUGAUUCAUGCCGAGUUUUGCUACUAUAUUAAUGAAUAUAGUAGCUUAAAUACAUCAAAUACACUCUAAAAAAACUAAAAAUAUAGCUAUAGAAAGUAAUACAUUAAAUGGUAGCUAUAAGUAGCUAAUAACCACUAAACAAUAGUGGUUUAUGAAAAUUUCUCUUCUUUUUUUAUGUUAUUAAGAUAAAAUUUCAAAUCUGAAAAAAAUAAUAACAAACUGGACAAACUUAUAGAGGUUUGGUCAAGCUUUUCCAAAGUCAUAAGCACUUUUUUUCCUACAAAAUUACUUCUUUUUUUAAAGUUGAAAGGUUUGGUCAAGCUUUUCCAAAGUCAAAAGCACUUUUUCCCACAAAAUUACUUCUUGUUUUAAAGUUGAAGUGUUUGGCCAACCUUUUAGAAGAAAAAAAAUAUUUUUGAGUAUAAACAGAAAUAAUUUUAGAAAAGUAGAAAAAAGUAAGUUUUCUUCAAAAACACUCUUUUUGAAAAGCAAUUUUGAGAUAAAUUCACGUAACAGUACUUUUUAUAGGCUUGGCUAAUAUUAAUUGUUGCUCAAAACUGCUUUUAGUAUUAAUUAGCCAAGCACAGAGUAAUUAUUACAAAAAAAAUAUUUUCUAAAAAAAUACUUCUUAAGAUAAGCUAAUUUUUAAAAAUUAGCAAAAUAAGCUAUAAUCCAAACACCUUCUACCUCCCGCCCUUACGUACACUCGUAGAGUCAGCAAGAAAAAAAAGGAUGUUAAAAAUAUUUCAAAAAUUGAUGUGCAUAUUUUUCAAACGAAAAAGGAUUAAUAAAGUUCCUAAAUUAUUGAAAAAGUUUUUAAAAUGCUUAUCAUUCAUUUAUUGAGCUUAAAAUAUCCCUACAUUCACCUUUUUGGUUUACUUAUUCCCUUUUACCAUUAGGUCAAUAUUGAAUUAAAAAUAAUAACUAUUUAAAUUUCACGUGGCAAUUUCUUAUUGGCCAAAACUAAUACAUCUAACCCAUUAGAAAGAUCUACCCAUAUCUAUCAAUUCUUUGUACUAACCCGCUUCAAAUAUUAAUUCGACCCGAACAAAAAGUUCAACCAAAAAAAGAGACCUCACUUCUAUCAAACUCUAUGAAACAAAAGUUUCAUGGAAAUUGCAGCGAAUAUAUAGACCAAAUUUAUUACAUGUUAUUAUUUUUCUUGUUACGACAUCUAAUUCAAUUUAUAUAAUAGAUAUAAAUUGCAUUAUAUUCAAUUUUUUUUUGUCAGAAAGAUAAACUAUAUUAUAAACGGUUAAACAAGUACAACAUAAUUGUUAAGUAGAUGCCUACAAUGCAUCAUUCGUACAAAACUAGAGUUUGUUUAACUAUACAUGAGAUUAAUCAAGAAAAUGAGCACAUGUAAAUUCAUGAAUUAAAUGAAACCGAGGCAUCCUUUUUAGGGGCAGAUUCAUGUAUAGUGAAGCGAUGUCAUGUCACGUGACACCACUUUGUUAAAAUAUUUUACCAAAUGUCAUACAAAUAAUACGAAAAUUUAAUCAAACAUGUAUAUAUAGACAGGAGUGACACCACUUAACACCACACUGUUAUUGAUCCAGUGGUUUAGCUCCUGCCUUAUUUCUUCCAAGUCUAGGGAUUGAUUCUCCUCAUUAACUCUUUUUUUUUUCGCUAUUUUUGAAGCUUAUUUUCUUUGGGAAAAAAAAGUAGGUUGAGCAGUAUUUGAACUCACCUCCUUUAAACAAAAAUUUCUUAUAAUCAGUGGAAUAACGCCCAAUCUAUCUUUUACUGUAGAGAAAAUAAAUAAUAAGUAAUUAGACUAUUUGUCCCUUUAUUAAAAGUGACAUUACUUGUAAAAAAAUUUACAUAUGCUCCUGAUCUUUUUUUAUUUGAACUUUUUAUUCGAAUCAGGGGUUAUAAAUAAUUUUUGCUGAGCAGUCGUUAAAAGUCCAAAGGGAAAUACCUGUCAUGUUUAUUUAUAAAUAGCUUAUUAUAAAAAUUGACCAAUUCAUAAAAUAUUACUAAUAUUAGCUAAUUAGCAAUUUGUAAGGAAAACAAAGUCAAUUUUUCUUUCUCUUUUGAGUUAGUGUUAUUAGAAUAGAUUGAGUACAUAUCCUAAGGAGAUUGAAUCUUAGUUUUGGAAUGAUUUACUAGAGUUUUGAGGUGGUUUGAAUUAAAAAUUCGAAGUAGAAGAUGAGCAUAAAAACAUGAUAUGUACAUCAUUUGUGUAUUAUAUAUGUAUCAUAUUUUUUUCGAAUGUGUAUUACAUGUAUAUCUGUAUAUACCAAUGUGUGAGAUACAUAUUUGAUAUAUAUGUAACACAAGAAUUUUAUAAACUCGAUUUUAACUAUGAACUAGUAUAUGUACUCGAGGUCUCAGAGCAAUGUGUGGACAAUUGACAUAUAUAAUCAUGGAUACACAGGUUUAUAAAAUAAUUUUAAUAUUUAACAUAUUAUAAAAUAAUAUUGUAAAGCUUACAUGAAAGAAUGCUAACAUGUUUGACACCUCCAAUGGUUAUAUUAGUUAACACUAAUAAAAGCAAUCAAUAUAUCAGCUUUAUUCAUUGUUUUAAUUAGCUAACCAUAACUUUUAACAUUAUAUAAUUAUUUACUUAAUUUGUUUUACAAAUUAUUCAUAAUCAUAAAUUCCUCACAUAAUCCCUGUCAUCCUCUUAUAUGCAUUUUUUACUACAAUACUUUUAGUUGAUUUUUUAUUUAGCAUUUUACUUAUAAUAAAUAAUUAUUUGGAACUACUUUUAAUUUGUUUCCAAUAUGUUAUAUUUAGUUUUAGUUUUAGCUAUUGAUAUUAUCUAAACAUGAGUUUAAAUUAUAUUUGUUUUCAUUUAACAAUUAUUAAGAUUUCAAUUAGAUAACCUUAUCGGUAAAGUAUGUUUUGUUGAAUCAUUACUCAAAGAUUUUAGAAAUUUUUGAUCUUAAAUGCGAGAUCGUUGGCUAAAAACAUGUUUUUAAGGAUAAAAUAAAAUUAAGUAUUUUAAAAUAUAGAAGGUUAUAAUUCUUUUUGAAAACCAACUAAUAAGGAAAUAACACCAAAUAAAAUUAACGGAGGGACUAGAUUAUUCUAAUAUGCAACCUACAAUGCUAAUGCAAAUAUUACUCAAACAAUGUUGUAGGAGCUAGAGUAUUCAUCACUACAUACACCCUGCUCCUUUAUAUUGUAGACAAGAACCUAAAAAUAGUACACACUUAAACAUGGAUAUUGCAGUUUUAAUUGCUCUACCAAUAUGCCUUUCAUUCUCCAUUUGGUGCCUGAAAUUGCUGUAUUUGAUAUGGUGUCGCCCAAAACAGUGGAAAGAGAGCUGAGGAAACAAGGAGUAUAUGGCCGUCCAUAUACAUUUCUUUAUGGAAAUCUAAAGGAGAUGAUGGAAAUGAACAAAAUAGCCAAGUCUAAACCCAUGCCUUUGAAUCACGACUACACCCCUCGGCUAAAUCCUUUCUUCUAUGAGCUCGCCACCACUUACAGUAACUACUCUUGCUAGUAAUUUGCAUGAGUUUCUUUAGUAGCAUAAAAUAGAGGAAUUUCACUAAAAAUAUAGUUUAAGAUUGUUUACAAACUUUAAUUUGUAAAUAGUAAUAUUUUCUGUCCUUUGCAGAAAAACUUUUCGAUUGUUUUCAAACUUUGCAGAGAAACUUUUCUUGUUUUCGCUAGGACCGAUACCUCGAGUGACCAUAAUGGAUCCAAAGCUAAUACGGGAAGUACUAUCAAAUAAAUCGGGUGUGUUCAGAAAACCAAAAAUCAGUGCUUUCCUCAUGCUAUUUGUAAUAGGAUUAAGGACUUACGAUGGUGAAAAAUGGGCUAAACACAGAAAAAUUCUUAAUCGAGCUUUCUCCACUUGGAAAAAUUAAAGGUAUUUUUCAAUUAAGUAGUUACCUUACUUUUACGUCAUUUUUUCAUCAGAGGUUUAUUUUCAUUUUGGCCUUGCAAAUGCAUGCAACUUAUGUUGGGAGCAUUCACAGAGUGUACACAAAAAAUGAUAAUCAAAGUUAAUAUUUUCGCUUCUGAGGGAACAUUGCGAACUUGUUUUCACUGCAAAACUUGCUAUUAAUGUCUUCCCUUGGUUAAGGUACGUCGAAAUGAAAUCUAUAAUCUUGGAAAUAAGAUAUACUAACGGUGACCUGAUAUCUGUAUUGAGGUUCUUGUUUAUGUAAUAGGUUUGUGCCAACAAAAACUAAUAGAAGAAGAUUGUACAUCUAUAACACAGUACGUAGUUCGCUAAAAAGGAUAAUAGAGAAGCGAGAGAAAGAGGUACAAUCAGGAAAAUCAGACAAUGAAGAUCUUAUGGGUUUGUUAAUGAAAUCUUAUCAAGAAGAACAACAAGGUAAUAAGAACUCAAACAAGGGAAUGAGUACAGAAGAUGUAAUAGAAGAGUGCAACUCUUUCUAUUUUGCGGGUCAAGAGACUACUGCAACUUUAUUAACAUGGACUGCAAUUGUUUUGAUUAUGCAUCCAGAUUGGCAACAAAAAGCUAGGAAUGAAGUUCUUCAAAUCAUUGGAAAAGAUGAACCUAAGUUUGAUCAACUGAACCAGCUAAAAAUUGUAAGAUUCUCUGUCGUUAUAUACUAUUUUAAUUUAAGUUAUACACACUAAAGAUAUAAAUUUAUUUUACAUUAUUAGUAUAGAUUAGAUAUGAUAGUAAGUUAGUUAUCGUUUCCAAUUAAGGCUUAUCUUGGAGAUAUGCUGACACUUAAAAGAUUUUUUCAUAUUAUAAGUAAAUUUUAACAUGUAAUAGCAGAUAAGUUACAAAUUUCAAGAAAUUUACAUGGACUUGCUUAAACUACCUAAUUAUAUAAAUAUUACAAUCGAUUGAUAUAUAGAACUUAAACUUUUUACUUUACAAGUUACUUGAUGCAAAAUAUUUUGUACGUUGUGAAUGCAUUGGAACUUCAACUCGAAAGAGACUUUUGAGUGUUAAAAAAAAGGGUAACUCAAUGCACGAGAUGCUUUGCGUUGACGCAUGAUUCGAAGAAGGGUCACAGCUAAAAGGGUGUGAUAAAGAAUGUCUACCUUAAUACAAGUAUUAAUGGAUGUUUUCACGGUUCAAACUCGUGAUCUUUAGGUCACACGCAAAUAACUUUAUUAUUACUCCAAGGCUUUUUUUCCUACUAAAACAUAUAUGGUCGAACCUUUCAAUAAUAAUUUUAUUUGUUUAUAUAUUUUUUUACUAUUAUAGUAAAAUAAUAUUAUAGAUGACAUAUAUUAUACCAUAACACAAAACUCGAUUCCGAGUAAAACUCUGACUUUGAUCCGAUUUACUUAAUUCUACAAUACAUGUAGGUGACUAUGAUCUUGCACGAGGUUCUGAGGUUAUAUCCAUCAGGUUCUUGUUAGAGAAACAAAUGAAGAGACAAAACUUGGUGACUACAUAAUUCCAUCAGGUGCACAGCUUUUGGUACCUCUGCAAUUAAUCCACCGCGACACAGACCAAUGGGGAGAAGAUUCUCUUAUUUUCAAUCCAGAAAGAUUCUUAGAAGGAGUGUCAAAAGCAGCCAAAGAUUUGAUGUAUUUUCCCUUUGGUUGGGGUUCUCGUCUUUGCCUGGG